GAUGAACGCUGGCGGCGUGCCUAAUACAUGCAAGUCGAGCGAACAGACGAGGAGCUUGCUCCUCUGACGUUAGCGGCGGACGGGUGAGUAACACGUGGAUAACCUACCUAUAAGACUGGGAUAACUUCGGGAAACCGGAGCUAAUACCGGAUAAUAUAUUGAACCGCAUGGUUCAAUAGUGAAAGACGGUUUUGCUGUCACUUAUAGAUGGAUCCGCGCCGCAUUAGCUAGUUGGUAAGGUAACGGCUUACCAAGGCAACGAUGCGUAGCCGACCUGAGAGGGUGAUCGGCCACACUGGAACUGAGACACGGUCCAGACUCCUACGGGAGGCAGCAGUAGGGAAUCUUCCGCAGUGGGCGAAAGCCUGACGGAGCAACGCCGCGUGAAUGAUGAAGGUCUUCGGAUCGUAAAACUCUGUUAUUAGGGAAGAACAAAUGUGUAAGUAACUAUGCACGUCUUGACGGUACCUAAUCAGAAAGCCACGGCUAACUACGUG
rnacentral:rRNA from 1 species